rnacentral:rRNA from 1 species
CGGUAAUACCGGCAGCACGAGUGAUGGCCGCUCUUAUUGGGCCUAAAGCGUCCGUAGCUGGCCAGGCAAGUCCAUCGGGAAAUCUCCCCGCCUAACGGGGAGGCGUCCGGUGGAAACUGCCUGGCUUGGGACCGGAAGAUCCAGAGGGUACGUCCGGGGUAGGAGUGAAAUCCUGUAAUCCUGGACGGACCGCCGGUGGCGAAAGCGCUCUGGAAAGACGGAUCCGACGGUGAGGGACGAAAGCUCGGGUCACGAACCGGAUUAGAUACCCGGGUAGUCCGAGCUGUAAACGAUGUCUGCUAGGUGUGCCACAGGCUACGAGCCUGUGGUGUGCCGCAGGGAAGCCGUGAAGCAGACCGCCUGGGAAGUACGUCCGCAAGGAUGAAACUUAAAGGAAUUGGCGGGGGAGCACUACAACCGGAGGAGCCUGCGGUUUAAUUGGACUCAACGCCGGACAUCUCACCAGCAUCGACAGUAGGAGUGACGGUCAGUGUGAUGAGCUUACCAGACCUACUGAGAGGAGGUGCAUGGCCGCCGUCAGCUCGUACCGUGAGGCGUCCUGUUAAGUCAGGCAACGAGCGAGACCCGCACUCCUAAUUGCCAGCAACACCCUUGUGGUGGUUGGGUACAUUAGGAGGACUGCCAGUGCCAAACUGGAGGAAGGAACGGGCAACGGUAGGUCAGUAUGCCCCGAAUGUGCUGGGCAACACGCGGGCUACAAUGGUCGAGACAGUGGGACGCAACCCCGAAAGGGGGCGCUAAUCUCCGAAACUCGAUCGUAGUUCGGAUUGCGGACUGAAACUCGUCCGCAUGAAGCUGGAUUCGGUAGUAAUCGCCGUUCAGAAGACGGCGGUGAAUACGUCCCUGCUCCUUGCACACACCGCCCGUCAAAGCACCCGAGUGAGGUCCGGAUGAGGCCCCUUCUGGGGGUCGAAUCUG